rnacentral:misc_RNA from 1 species
AUCUGGAGCAGCAAACAGAUGAAUACAAUCAAACCCAUCAGGGUCAACAGGUUGUGGAGCCACAUUCUUCAGGAACUCCUGAAACAGAAUCUGCAAGGCAACCACAUUCAGCAGAAAAAUCUAGAUAUUCUGCAUCUCCUUAUAGGGGAGCCCCUGCUCAUGGAAUCUCACCUUCACAUAGUAUGGGCACAUUGGCAUCAAAGGCUUCUUCAUUUUCG